GACGAACGCUGGCGGCGUGCUUAACACAUGCAAGUCGAACGGUAAGGCCCUUCGGGGUACACGAGUGGCGAACGGGUGAGUAACACGUGGGUGAUCUGCCCUGCACUUCGGGAUAAGCCUGGGAAACUGGGUCGAAUACCGGAUAGGACCCUGGGAUGCAUGUCCUGGGGUGGAAAGCUUUUGCGGUGUGGGAUGGGCCCGCGGCCUAUCAGCUUGUUGGUGGGGUGAUGGCCUACCAAGGCGACGACGGGUAGCCGGCCUGAGAGGGUGAACGGCCACACUGGGACUGAGAUACGGCCCAGACUCAUACGGGAGGCAGCAGUGGGGAAUAUUGCACAAUGGGCGCAAGCCUGAUGCAGCGACGCCGCGUGAGGGAUGGCGGCCUUCGGGUUGUAAACCUCUUUCAGCACCGACGAAGCGCAAGUGACGGUAGGUGCAGAAGAAGGACCGGCCAACUACGUGCCAGCCGCCGCGGUAA
rnacentral:rRNA from 1 species